ACAGACACCGGCCCCGCCGCCCCAGUGUUCAGACUACCUGUUCAGGAAGCUCUGCAGGUGUACAGUAGUCUGCACAUUGGUUAGGCUGGGCUCGGGCGAGCG
rnacentral:pre_miRNA from 15 species